UACAGAGGUCUCAAGCGUUGUUCGGAUUCAUUGGGCGUAAAGGGUGCGUAGGCGGCGCGGUAAGUCGGGUGUGAAAUCUCGGAGCUUAACUCCGAAACUGCAUUCGAUACUGCCGUGCUUGAGGACUGGAGAGGAGACUGGAAUUUACGGUGUAGCGGUGAAAUGCGUAGAGAUCGGAAGGAACACCAGUGGCGAAGGCGGCUACCUGGACAGAUACUGACGCUGAAGCGCGAGAGCGUGGGGAGCAAACAGG
rnacentral:rRNA from 1 species